rnacentral:misc_RNA from 1 species
UUUUUCAUGGCCUCCGAGCAGGACGACACGGUUUUUGGCCACGACCUCGACGAUGACGACGACGAAUCCUCUCAGUCCCAAGAUGACGAUGACGAUCUUGAGAACGACGAUGUCAUGGUUGAAAACGACGACGUUCUAGCCGACGAGGAAGACGAAGAAGACCUCAACUCUGUCUCUCCUUCUAUCUCCUCCCCUGCUACUGUCCCUGUCGCCGUCCCCUCCGCCUCUGCCGUCACCAUCGCUGUCCCCAACGGCGUUGACCCCCCCUGUGCUUCCGUUCAGUCUGCUUCUGACCCCAAGCGUCAACGCGUUGAGACGACGCUGGUUAUCCACCAGCAAGAAGAGAAAAAGCCACAACCACAACAAAUGGAUGAAUCGAGACGGCUGUUUCAACGAUUAUGGACUGACGAAGACGAGAUCGAGCUCCUCCAAGGGUUUCUUGAUUAC